rnacentral:sRNA from 1 species
GUCGCUUGGAGAUCCACUUUACUAUGGUAAAAUACAGCCAUGUAAAGCAGAUGAAGAAAGUGACAGCCAGAUGUCUCCAUCACACUCGUCCACAGAUGAUCAUUCAAACUGGUUCAUUAUUGGAUCAAAGACCGAUGCUGAGAGGGUAGUCAAUCAGUACCAAGAAUUAGUCCAGAAUGAAGCCAAAUGUCCGGUCAAGAUGUCACACAGCUCCAGUGGCUCAGCCAGUCUGAGUCAGGUUUCUCCAGGGAAAGAAACAGAACAAACUGAAACCGUGUCAGUUCAGUCUUCAGUAUUGGGGAAGGGUGUAAAACAUCGACCCCCACCAAUCAAACUUCCCUCAAGCUCAGGAAAUAGUUCCUCAGGUAACUAUUUUACACCACAACAGACAAGCAGCUUUCUCAAAUCUCCAACUCCUCCUCCUUCUUCUAAGCCACCAACUAUUCCUCGGAAAUCAUCUGUGGAUCUCAAUCAAGUUAGCAUGCUUUCUCCAGCUGCCCUAUCACCUGCCAGCUCAUCACAAAGAUCUGGAACUCCUAAGCCAUCUACUCCUACACCAACCCCUUCAUCGACCCCACACCCUCCUGAUGCUCAGAGCUCAACUCCUAGUACCCCUUCA